UAAAACACCUCCAAAGUGCAUUUGAAAAUGGAGAGCCUCUUUUAUUUGGGCUGCUUUGACAGGAGAAACACAUUCUGUGUGUGUUCAGAGGGCAUUUAAAAGUACCUAGAGCUGAAGACUCUUGGGGUAAAUGUUGCAGGUGGACAAAUUCCUUCUUUGUUUCACAACAGAGUAAGAAAUUGCCAAAACAGGAUUGCAUAAAGAAGGUUGUUUGUGCAGCAUCACUCCCAUAGGUAGCGGUCACAUUUUGAUGCAUCAGCAAGCUUUGGGAAAAGAGGUGUUGCAAGAUCGUGAAGUCAUUUUAUAUUCCCAAAACUGAGAUGUAGAAACAUCUCCAAAAUUCAAAGUUGCAUCUAGAAAUUGAGGAAACUGGGACAUUACUGUAGUGUCUAUGCAAUAAACAGGGUACAGUAUGUAUGCACUUUUAUAAUAUGAAAAAGACAUUGCUUCAGCAGCAGCAAGUAUAUACUGCAAAAGAGUUCAUGUACACAUAUAUUUUCUUUUUUGUCACAGCUGGGGACCUAAAGCCUUCUAACUUUUGUGGAGAAGAAGGCAUUAGGAAUAGAAAAAACAGUGACAUGAUAGUAGUCAGUGUUCCAAAUAUCAGGGAUUGCCACAAAGUAGAGGGAGUCAAGCUGUUCUCCA